rnacentral:piRNA from 1 species
GUGAAUGUGUGUGUGCACGUGC